ensembl:lncRNA
GGCCUAUGCGUGUUAAUGCAUCAGAGGGACUUUAGUGGGAACUUGGGACCACACAGGAAGGAUACUGCUGCUCAGCAUUUGUCCUUGGUAAGCAGAAGCCUUAUAGGACAGAGGCCUAACUCCUAAGUGUGCCUUCUCACCACGGAAGUGGGUUUUAAUGAGGCCCAGGGUGAGGCUGUCAACACUAAAAAGCAUCGCCACAGGAACCUUGUCAUUCAAGGCCACCGGAAGACCUUUCCCCUCCAACCUGGGACCCCAUCAAAAAUCUGGGUUGGUUUCCCCACUGAGGAAGACACACUGCACUGCAGGUAGGGGCUCAUAAACAUUUAAGGAAAGAUGGAAAAUGACCUGAUAACAUAGAAAUCUUGAAUUACUGAUUUCAGUUUUAUACCACCUGAAAUUAAGUGUUGUGUUCAUGUUUUACAUUUGGAAGUUGUGUGUGUGUGUGUGUGUGUGUAGUGUAUGAAAAAAGAUACUGAUUGUAUAUAUAUAUGGUAGUUAGGUUCUUAGUUUUCAAUACUUUUUUCUUGUGAUAAGAUUAUUCCUUAUAUACAACGUCCUAUUCCUGUUAUAAGUGAAAUAUGCAUACUUCAAUUUUGAGGAUGUUGAUUUGAUUGAUCUCAAAUUCCUUCUCUAUUCUCCAAUUAACUUUGUUUUUCUUUGUCUGUGUGAGUACCUGCAUAUGUGUAUAUAUUCAUUAUAUGAUUGUACAGAGAGAUUAUUUUCUUACUCAAAGAAAAUUGCAUUCAAUUUAAAAACUGAGUUGCCUGUCUCUCUAUACAAAGAAUGGAGAUGUUGGCACACCUUUCAUGUCUGUCUUCUGUAUUUUCAGAUCAUCUUGCAUCUUGGUGUUAGCUGUAUAUACAAAGACUUGUCAGCCUGCUGCUUCAUGGUCAGGAGGGUUGGCUGAACAGCCAUUGCAGCACUUCUGAGUUCACAGGACUGCAACCAUUCUAACAGAGGUGAGAUGUCUGUUGGCAACUGGUCUUUACCAGGACCUGUGGAAUAUUAUCUCUUUUCCAGUCUCAUGUAUGAUGCAAGGGGCCCUUGAGACUCCAAGAGUGAAAAAAGGACUUCUGAUCUAGACAGAGCUUGGUUUACACCGACUCCGACUUCUCUCCCUUUGGAAGACCAAUCAGAGUUGCUCUGAGUCGUCUGCCCAGGCCUCCUGCUUGUCGGGCUCUUUUGUUGGUGGUGUUCAUUAAGCACCCCUCUACUCUAGCUCUCUCCACUGCGCCAUCCGGAGGGCUCUCUAGACAUAAACUCCAGCCGCACAGGAGAUACGGUGCCAGGAAGGGAAGGUCAUUUCUGGCCUAGCUGAGCAGAGCAGAAGGAGCGCCCUCAUUUUGCAGAAGGGCAGUCGGCUCCCUUGACUCUCAGGAGGGCCAGGAGCCCUGGGUUUCUACCUCUGGGCACUUCUCGUUUUGUUUUGGGCCUCCUUUUCUGACCAGUGUUGCUUUUUUUCUCUCACUUCUACUACUCUGUCCCCUCUGAACUCUGGUCUCUCCCUGGGUCAAGUCAACAGCUAAGAAAGCUCUCUCACACCUCCCUUUUUUCCUUAUGGUGGAAUCUGAAGGACCUGCACUAAAAGAUUUCAGAGACUGGGAAGGAAAUGUUUCUACUUCCACAUGAAUCUUUUAAUAAGUUGAUUAGUGAAGAGUUGAAUUCUGAUAGGAAGAACUGAUUUCUCUAGACUGUUCACUCACACAUGUAGGGUCUUUUGUCCCUGUCCCUGCUUACAGCUCCAGCGUAUUUUAAAACCUCUUCUCUGUUUUGAGUAUUUCUAAAAUCCAUUUAACACUUAAGUUUCACAGUUAACAUUUCUUGUCUGCUCUAUCCAAAGUCAAGUUGAGCUCACUGCUCAGGGAAGUGUUUGUGCAUGUGUGUGCUGGUGCAUGUGUGUACAGGUGUGAAGGGAGGGGCUAGUUUUCCAUGAUUCCUUUACCUCUUCUCUCUGCUACGUCCCACUUCCUAAGGAAAGGGAAGUGAAAUUUAAGAAAAAAGGACAGAAGGCUUGUCGGCAGGUGCUAUGAGCAUCUGGCCGUGGUGGUGCCCUCUCCUUCACCGUCUACCCCAGCCUGUCUCCUGCCUCGGGAGUGCACAAGAAAAGCAGAAGAUCCUGGCUUCUGUAUUGGUGCUGUGCACCCUCUAAACCCCAGCACACACUCAUCACACCUGGAUGGACUGUCCUGGCUCAGCAGCGGUGCCAACUGAAACAGCCGAGAUUCUGCAGCCCAGCCUCAGCACACUUGCUGAGUGUGACUUUGGUUGUACCGAGGACAAUUCAACUCAGUCUAUUGAGAGGCCCUCUCAAGUGGGUUGACAUGGGGGAACAAACCUGCCCCAUGGAAGGAGAAAAGCCAGGACAUUUCCCCACAGACCCUUUCUACUGUAGCAGUUCUUUCUCAUUUACAGAUUCCUCUACAUUUCUAGUCUUUGCUUUACAGAAGCCAAUGAAUUGCAUGCAUAGAUGCUAACUGGCUAGAGGGGCCCAAGAUUGAUUUUACUAUCUUUUAUUAAACUCUGGAAGGCAGAUGUGGUAAUUCUCAGACGGUGUCUUUAUAAUGUAGGGACAAUCUCAUGCGUGUUCCUAACUUUGGGGUUGAGAAAUGAGGAAAAUCUCAUUUAACAUUCUAUUAAUCUUCUAUUUUACCUUGUUUGUAUUCCUAAACCCAACAUAAUGCAUGCCACAUCAGAGGAAUUUAUUAAAUGUUUAUUUAAUGGAAUAGUGGGUGUAUGAAAGAACAAGUGAUCAACUACUAAACAAAAGUGAGGGGGAAGGAAGGUCAUUCUGGUACAGUGUCUUAAAGUCAUUGUAUUAGGGGCCGGUGCUGUGGCAUAGCAGGUAAAGCUGCUGCCUGCAGUGCCAGCAUCCCAUAUGGGUGCUGGUUCAAGUCCCAGAUGCUCCAUUACCGAUCCAGCUCUCUGCUAUGGCCUGGUAAAGCAGUAGAAGAUGACCCAAGUCCUUGGGCCCCUGCACCCACAUGGGAGACCAGGAAGAAGUUCCUGGCUCCUGGCUUCAGAUUGGCACAAGCUAUGGCUGUUGUGGCCAUUUAGGGAGUGAAUCAGUGGAUGGACAAUCUCUCUCUUUCUCUGACUCUUCUUCUCUGUGUAACUCUGACUUUUAAAUAAAUAAAAUAAAUCUUUAAAAAAAUCA